rnacentral:rRNA from 1 species
CAGCAGCCGCGGGAAUGCGUAGGUGGCAAGCGUUGUCCGGAAUUAUUGGGCGUAAAGGGCUCGCAGGCGGUUUCUUAAGUCUGAUGUGAAAGCCCCCGGCUCAACCGGGGAGGGUCAUUGGAAACUGGGAAACUUGAGUGCAGAAGAGGAGAGUGGAAUUCCACGUGUAGCGGUGAAAUGCGUAGAGAUGUGGAGGAACACCAGUGGCGAAGGCGACUCUCUGGUCUGUAACUGACGCUGAGGAGCGAAAGCGUGGGGAGCGAACAGGAUUAGAUACCCCUGUAGUCCCUGUCUCUUAUAC